GACGAACGCUGGCGGCGUGCUUAACACAUGCAAGUCACGGGGGCCCGCAAGGGCAACCGGCGAACGGGUGCGUAACACGUGAGCAACCUACCGAGAUCUGGGGGAUAGCCGGCCCAACGG
rnacentral:rRNA from 1 species